rnacentral:lncRNA from 1 species
AUGGUUAACCAGGCGGAGGACCCAUGUAUAAGGAGGUCCUGCUCAGGGCCACCUCAGAGAGCCAGGAUUCCACAGGAUGCUCUGGGCCAAGGGGCUGGGGCUGGCGGUGGGGGCCGUGGCCCUCCUGGGGCUGGGGCUCAUCCUGGGCCACUUUGCCAUCCCCAAAGGGGCCAACUCCCAAGCCCCCAGCACCUCAGGCUCCCAGGACCUGGACCUGGAGAUGCUUGCGACCGUCGUGGGGCAGAUGGAGGCCAGCAGGAUCCGGGAGAACCUGCGGGAGCUGUCCCGGGAGCCGCACAUGGCCACGGGCCCCCGGGACGAGACCCUGGUGCAGCUGCUGUUGCAGCGCUGGCGGGACCCGGAGUCAGGCCUGGACGCGGCCGCGACCAACGAGCACGAGGUCCUGCUGUCCUUCCCCAGCUCGGAGCAGCCCAACCUCAUCCGCGUCGUGAGCUCCACUGGCGAUGUCCUGCACACCUAUCACCUGCGGGAGGAGAACGUGACUGGAGAGCACGCGGGGCUGGACGUGGUGCAGCUCUUCGCCGCCUACGCUCCCGUCCGGAAUCUCUCAGGUGGGCCUGGGCCCCUCCUCCCCUCUUCUCGCUCCUGCACUCCCACCCAACUUCGACCCCCAGGCACCCGAACGAAGGUGUUUGGCGGGGGCGGAGCUUAAGCCCCGUCCCCCAAAAGAGACUUCCCACACACGCCCUCGGCAGGCCUUCAGUACAGAGUCAUCCAACAGUCACCAGCGGCCCCUCCUCAAGUCCGGGCCUGGUACAAGGCCCCUGGACGCAGAGGAAACCAAGGGCGACUGUCCCUGGGGCGCCCACACCGCAGAAUCCAAGCCGCCUCCUGCCCCGGCCCCUUGCCGGCCCGGCUCUGAGGGUCCCCUCCCCUUUGGUCUAGGGCCCCCUCGUCUUCGCCAACCAGGGCACUGAACAGGACUUCGAGAGGCUGCGGGCUGAGGGCGUCGCACUCGAGGGCACCAUCGCCCUAACUCGCUACGGGGGUGCGGGCCGCGGGGCCAAGGUGAGCGCUGGGCUGGGGCGGGGCCCGGGCUUGCUGCUACUCAGGGAGUGGCCUUCCUGCCUCCCCGCGGAGGGGCUGUGUGGGCUUGGACGCCCACGCAACCCCUCUGAGCCUUAGAAAUAAAGGGGUUGGGUCGGAUCUUUUUUUUUUUUUU